AGUGAACGCUGGCGGUAGGUCUAACACAUGCAAGUCGAACGGCAGCACAGUAAGAGCUUGCUCUUACGGGUGGCGAGUGGCGGACGGGUGAGGAAUACAUCGGAAUUUACUUUUUCGUGGGGGAUAACGUAGGGAAACUUACGCUAAUACCGCAUACGACCUACGGGUGAAAGCAGGGGAUCUUCGGACCCUGCGCGAUUGAAUGAGCCGAUGUCGGAUUAGCUAGUUGGCGGGGUAAAGGCCCACCAAGGCGACGAUCCGUAGCUGGUCUGAGAGGAUGAUCAGCCACACUGGAACUGAGACACGGUCCAGACUCCUACGGGAGGCAGCAGUGGGGAAUAUUGGACAAUGGGCGCAAGCCUGAUCCAGCCAUACCGCGUGGGUGAAGAAGGCCUUCGGGUUGUAAAGCCCUUUUGUUGGGAAAGAAAAGCAGCAGGUUAAUACCCCGCUGUUCUGACGGUACCCAAAGAAUAAGCACCGGCUAACUUCGUG
rnacentral:rRNA from 1 species